UACGUAGGGCGCAAGCGUUGUCCGGAAUUAUUGGGCGUAAAGAGCUCGUAGGCGGUUUGUCGCGUCUGCUGUGAAAACCUAAGGCUCAACCUUGGGCUUGCAGUGGGUACGGGCAGACUAGAGUGCGGUAGGGGUGACUGGAAUUCCUGGUGUAGCGGUGGAAUGCGCAGAUAUCAGGAGGAACACCGAUGGCGAAGGCAGGUCACUGGGCCGCAACUGACGCUGAGGAGCGGAAAGCAUGGGGAGCGAACAGG
rnacentral:rRNA from 1 species